CUAUCUAUACUACUUUAUAAAGCAUAUCCAAAGGACUUCUUAAAGUCCAUAAAAAUUCCCUUAAAAUACCCUUAAAGCAUGCUGUACAACCCUCUAAAGCACAAUAUAAUUUACACUUCCAAUUAUACCCUUCACUCAAAAAAAAAAAAAAAACACACGGGAGUACACAAAUCAAUUUUAGGGUUUCUCAUUCUAAUAUCAUUUUUUCCGCCCCCAUCCCGAGCUGCUUUCUCUCUCCCAGGCGAUUUCCAGAUCUAGGGUUUCAAUGACAUCGAAUCGUUGAUUUUCUCUCUAUCCGACAGAAGAUCCACUGGGGUUGACCUCUAGGGUUUCAAUGACACGGAAUCGAUGAUUUUCUCUCUAUUCGACAUAAGAUCCACUGGGGUUGACCUCUAGGUACCGUUUUAAACCAUCUUCUCCGAGAUCGGCUGCUGCUUAUGUUAAUCCUCAUGGUCUUCUGUUCAGAUCUGGUUUUAAUACCGAGAACUAAAGGCUAGGGUUCGACUAACUGGCAGUUAACUUCUCCGAGAUCCGUUGCUGCUCGUGUUAAUCCUCAUCUUCUUCUGUUCAGAUCUGGCUUUAAUACUGGUGGCUGAACAACAAGUGAGUAGCUUGUGUUUGGAGGCUCAGGAGUUCAUGAUUGCUGGUAGAUGGUUGGAUUUGGCUUUGUUGAUGAUUACUUCUGCUGAUUUGGUGUUUUCCAAAGCGUCAAAUAAAGGAUAAGCUGCAACAAGGGGUUUGGUUUCAAUCACACCGAAUCGAUGAUUUUCUCUCUAUUCAACACAAGAUCCACUGGGGUUUUUCUCUAUUCGACAUAAAAUCCACUGGGGUUGACCUCUAGGUACCGUUAUAAACCACAUCAUGUUUGAAUUCUCUGAUCUCUGUGUUUGAGGCGGUUUCGAGGUAAUGUGGCCGAGAUACACGACGGAGAUCGUGAUUUCCGGUUGAAUUUUGUCGCUGUGUAACCGUUUUUGUUCGUUCAUUUCGUUUUCGUGUGGUUUUGGUGAAGUGAGAGAAGACGAAGGCUUCCGGCGAGAAAGUUAGGAAUGAUAUGAUUCACGUCAAAGUUUAAGCAUUAUUUAACGAAGGACCUGCCAGAUAUUGUGAUGCAGGUAUCUGUGAUGAAGAGGCUUCGACAUCCAAAUAUUGUGCUCUUCAUGGGUGCAGUAAUUUCACCUCACCACGUAUGCAUUGUUACUGAGUUCCUUUGCUGUGGAAGUUUGUUCCAUUUACUUCACCGAAGGAGAGUCGGAUUUAAUUUGAAACAUCAUGUUCGUAUGGCCUUGGAUAUAGUAAGCAACAUACCGAUGAGAAAAAGCGAGGCGGUGUUGCCGUAAAGUGAUCUUGUUUUGCUAGCAAUAGUUGGUUUGAAGGCCCGUGUUAAGGUAAGAAUGGUGACGGGUGACAAUCUUCAAACCGCCAAGGCAAUUGCGUUAGAAUGCAGUAUACUUGGGUCAGAUGCGGACGCUACCAAGCCAAACCUAAUUGAAAGGAAGUCCUUCCGUGCAAUGUCGGAUGCACAAAGACUCGAAGUAGCUGAGAGG